UCAACCCCGUCCCCCUUCCUCUCGCUCUCUCAGCCCUCAGGGAACGAACAAUGCUGGCGGCGGAGGUGACGACUUAACUGGCAGCGGAGGCGCGCGACGACUAGGUUGGAGGAGGCCGCCUCACCGGCAGUGCUCGAAUCCACCGCGUCAACCCGACGUCACGAAGCCGCCAACCUCAUCCUGCUUGAACGGAGCCGCCCACCUCAUCACGCUGGCCGCCCCCUUCCGUGCCGUAUAGUCGCCGUUGCUCUCCCCACCACUGCAACUGCCAUAUCUGGCGAACCCUUGCAAUACUAUUUGGUCAUCACAGAGCUCAAGUCAUAGGACCAUAGCAUGCCAUGUUGUGGUUGAUGCAGAUCUGAGAUGACACCGAGGCAACGAGAUAGCAGGCGGCAUGCCGCUGAUGAACAAAGUAAUGACGACGACAAUUUUCACAAUUUUCUGGAGUUGGAGGCUAAGCCGGUGGACAAAGGUAGUGGAAGACCCGGUUAAUGUCGGGGAUGUCGGCGGUCCUGUCUCCCUCAUCUAUUGCAUCAGAUCCUCCUCUCCUCAUUGUCAUGAUGCUUCAGAACUGUUGUUGGCCUCUUGCUAUUUGUGAAUCCUCUCACACCAAUUAUUGGAAGAGAUGGAGACAAUUCUGUAUAGUUUGACCAUGACCCGAAGAGACCAAGAAUGAUGGCGUAGCAGUCCCAGAAAUAAAAGUUUCUCCAUCAGCCCUGUUCUUUGCUUCAAUUGUGAUUCUGGAACUGAAGCUUCAUCACCAUCAUUCUGUCGUUGGUCACAUGACUGAAUGAUUCGAUGGGGCAGGGAAUUUUCAUUUGCGUUGAGCGGACAUAGAAUGUGAACGACAUAAAUUUCACUGGCUCAAAGAUACAAGGGAGAAUGCUAAUAGUCUGGUUAUAUUUUAAAUCAGCUUUUUAGUGAGUUUUUAUCAUGGUCGGUUAUUAUAGUAACCAGAAAACACACGUCGGUCCAGUGAAUGGAAAGGCCACAAAAAUAGGCUUCUGGAGCAGUAGUCAUUCCACGUCAGCCUGCCUGGCUCAAGCACACAAAGAAGCCAAUAAAAAUGGUGAC